AAUAGAUACCCCGGUAGUCCACGCCGUAAACGAUGAGUGCUAAGUGUUAGAGGGUUUCCGCCCUUUAGUGCUGCAGCUAACGCAUUAAGCACUCCGCCUGGGGAGUACGGUCGCAAGACUGAAACUCAAAGGAAUUGACGGGGGCCCGCACAAGCGGUGGAGCAUGUGGUUUAAUUCGAAGCAACGCGAAGAACCUUACCAGGUCUUGACAUCCUCUGACAACUCUAGAGAUAGAGUGUUCCCCUUCGGGGGACAGAGUGACAGGUGGUGCAUGGUUGUCGUCAGCUCGUGUCGUGAGAUGUUGGGUUAAGUCCCGCAACGAGCGCAACCCUUGAUCUUAGUUGCCAGCAUUUAGUUGGGCACUCUAAGGUGACUGCCGGUGACAAACCGGAGGAAGGUGGGGAUGACGUCAAAUCAUCAUGCCCCUUAUGACCUGGGCUACACACGUGCUACAAUGGAUGGUACAAAGGGCUGCAAGACCGCGAGGUCAAGCCAAUCCCAUAAAACCAUUCUCAGUUCGGAUUGUAGG
rnacentral:rRNA from 1 species